rnacentral:rRNA from 1 species
AAUAGGGUAUUUAAAGAAACCUGCUCAGCAGAGAGACCCGCGAACACGUUACAACACUCGAGGGGGGUGAGGGGUGCGAACACGCCCCGGACCCUCCUCGCCGGGUGCUUGUGGCCCCGUCCCUCGACCCCGGCUCCAAACGAACCCCGGCGCGUUAUGCGUCAAGGAAAGACAACGAGACGAUCCCCGCCAUCGAGGCCCCGGGAACGGUGACUCUGCCUCGGUGGUCGCUUCGGGAUCUGUUUUUAGUAUGAAGAACGACUCUCGGCAACCGGAUUAUUUCGCUCUCGCAUCGAUAACGACGGUACGGAAAUGCGAGACUUGUUGUUAAUUGCAGAAUCCCGUAACAAUCGAGUCUCUGAACUCAAGUUGCGUCCGAACCCAUCAGGUCAAGGGCACGUCUGCCUAGGCGUCACACGUCGUUGCCCCCCCGAAUCCCCGUCCCCGCUCCUAUCCGUGCGAGUAGGGAGUGUGUUGGGGGGGCGGAUAAUGACCACCCGUUCGUGCUUUUCUCCGCGGUUGGUCCAAAAGCCUAGUCCCCAGACGCGUCGUCUUGGCAACAUGUAGUGGAUCACUCGGCCUUGCAAACACUCGCGUAGCACAAGCAUCGGCACUCCGUCAGACCCCAAUGUGCCCGUCACGGGUGCUUCCACCUUGGCCACAAGUCAGGUUGGCUA